ensembl:rRNA 5S_rRNA 5S ribosomal RNA
GUCUAUGGCCAUACCACCCUGAACAUGCCUGAUCUCGUCUGAUCUUGGAAGCUAAGCAGGCUCGGGCCAGUUUAGUACUUGGAUGGGAGACAAUAUUAUAUUGAAAAGUUGGUCUAGAUU